AAACUUUCAACAACGGAUCUCUUGGCUCUGGCAUCGAUGAAGAACGCAGCGAAACGCGAUAAGUAAUGUGAAUUGCAGAAUCCAGUGAAUCAUCGAAUCUUUGAACGCACAUUGCGCCCGCCAGCAUUCUGGCGGGCAUGCCUGUUCGAGCGUCAUUACA
rnacentral:rRNA from 1 species